GGGUAGGUGAUCCGAUUGGUAAUGGUGAUUCUCUGUAAAAGAAUUGGUUAAUAGCCGUAUUGUGUUCGAUUCACAAACUACUCA
rnacentral:tRNA from 1 species